rnacentral:rRNA from 1 species
GACGAACGCUGGCGGCGUGCUUAACACAUGCAAGUCGAACGGAAAGGCCCUGCUUUUGUGGGGUGCUCGAGUGGCGAACGGGUGAGUAACACGUGAGUAACCUGCCCUUGACUUUGGGAUAACUUCAGGAAACUGGGGCUAAUACCGGAUAGGAGCUCCUGCUGCAUGGUGGGGGUUGGAAAGUUUCGGCGGUUGGGGAUGGACUCGCGGCUUAUCAGCUUGUUGGUGGGGUAGUGGCUUACCAAGGCUUUGACGGGUAGCCGGCCUGAGAGGGUGACCGGCCACAUUGGGACUGAGAUACGGCCCAGACUCCUACGGGAGGCAGCAGUGGGGAAUAUUGCACAAUGGGCGGAAGCCUGAUGCAGCAACGCCGCGCGCGGGAUGACGGCCUUCGGGUUGUAAACCGCUUUCGCCUGUGACGAAGCGUGAGUGACGGUAAUGGGUAAAGAAGCACCGGCUAACUACGUGCCAGCAGCCGCGGUGAUACGUAGGGUGCGAGCGUUGUCCGGAUUUAUUGGGCGUAAAGGGCUCGUAGGUGGUUGAUCGCGUCGGAAGUGUAAUCUUGGGGCUUAACCCUGAGCGUGCUUUCGAUACGGGUUGACUUGAGGAAGGUAGGGGAGAAUGGAAUUCCUGGUGGAGCGGUGGAAUGCGCAGAUAUCAGGAGGAACACCAGUGGCGAAGGCGGUUCUCUGGGCCUUUCCUGACGCUGAGGAGCGAAAGCGUGGGGAGCGAACAGGCUUAGAUACCCUGGUAGUCCACGCUGUAAACGGUGGGUACUAGGUGUGGGGUCCAUUCCACGGGUUCCGUGCCGUAGCUAACGCUUUAAGUACCCCGCCUGGGGAGUACGGCCGCAAGGCUAAAACUCAAAGGAAUUGACGGGGCCCCGCACAAGCGGCGGAGCAUGCGGAUUAAUUCGAUGCAACGCGUAGAACCUUACCUGGGUUUGACAUGGAUCGGGAGUGCUCAGAGAUGGGUGUGCCUCUUUUGGGGUCGGUUCACAGGUGGUGCAUGGCUGUCGUCAGCUCGUGUCGUGAGAUGUUGGGUUAAGUCCCGCAACGAGCGCAACCCUUGUUCACUGUUGCCAGCACGUUAUGGUGGGGACUCAGUGGAGACCGCCGGGGUCAACUCGGAGGAAGGUGGGGAUGACGUCAAGCCAUCAUGCCCCUUAUGUCCAGGGCUUCACGCAUGCUACAAUGGCUGGUACAGAGAGUGGCGAGCCUGUGAGGGUGAGCGAAUCUCGGAAAGCCGGUCUCAGUUCGGAUUGGGGUCUGCAACUCGACCUCAUGAAGUCGGAGUCGCUAGUAAUCGCAGAUCAGCAACGCUGCGGUGAAUACGUUCCCGGG